CAAUGUUUCACACAUAUCCAAUGUCAGACUUCGGCUAUUUAGUUCAUGUCUUCCAAUAGUUUUUAACUAUGUGUAAUAAAUAUUUAAACUAGUUCACGGACCUAUACAGUAAACAAUGUUGUAAAAUGAGUUCUGUGACUAAACUCUGUGGUUUCCUCUUCCUCGUCUACUUGCUACAAUGGCAGGAAGUGUACGCAGAUAUGAUAUGCCCAGCAAUGAUAGAAAAUACAAAUUACAUAGCUGUAGCCGAAUGGUACAGUUCUGCUCGUUUGCAAAACAACCUGCUCAGAGCUGAACUGUAUUUUCAACAAAUUUUUGGGGCGACUUGCUUUGUAUCAAACUUGACCUGUGACCUACAGGAUGCUUUUAAACUGUUUGCAAAGUUCAUCAAUAUAGCUGUAAGUAG
rnacentral:sRNA from 1 species